rnacentral:rRNA from 1 species
CCUACGGGGGGCAGCAGUGAGGAAUAUUGGUCAAUGGGCUUACGCCUGAACCAGCCAAGUCGCGUGAGGGAAGACUGCCCUAUGGGUUGUAUACCUCUUUUGUCAGGGAGCAACGCCGGCUACGUGUAGCCGGACUGAGAGUACCUGAAGAAAAAGCAUCGGCUAACUCCGUGCCGCCAGCCGCGGUAAUACGGAGGAGGCGAGCGUUACCCGGAUUUAUUGGGUUUAAAGGGUGCGUGGGCGGAAUGCCAAGUCCGCGGUAAAAUCGCGGGGCUCAAUCUCGCUCCGCCGUUGAAACUGGCGUGCUUGAGUGGGCGAGAAGUAUGCGGAAUGCGUGGGGUAGCGGUGAAAUGCAUAGAUAUCACGCAGAACUCCGAUUGCGAAGGCAGCAUACCGGCGCCCAACUGACGCUGAAGCACGAAAGCGUGGGUAUCGAACAGGAUUAGAUACCCCAGUAGUC